rnacentral:SRP_RNA from 1 species
GCCGGGCGUGGUGGCUCAUGCCUGUAAUCCCAGCACUUUGGGAGGCCGAGGUGGGUGGAUCACCUGAGGUCAGGAGUUCGAGACCAGCCUGGCCAACAUGGUGAAACCCCAUCUUUA